rnacentral:rRNA from 1 species
CCUACGGGAGGCAGCAGUGAGGAAUAUUGGUCAAUGGACGCGAGCCUGAACCAGCCAAGUCGCGUGCAGGAUGACUGCCCUACGGGUUGUAAACUUCUUUUAUAAGAGAAUAAAGUGCGGCACGUGUGCCUUUUUGUAUGUACUUUAUGAAUAAGGAUCGGCUAACUCCGUGCCAGCAGCCGCGGUAAUACGGAGGAUCCGAGCGUUAUCCGGAUUUAUUGGGUUUAAAGGGUGCGUAGAUGGGUUGUUAAGUCAGUUGUGAAAGUUUGCGGCUCAACCGUAAAAUUGCCUUUGAUACUGGUAGGCUUGAGUGCAGUUGAGGUAGGCGGAAUGCGUGGUGUAGCGGUGAAAUGCUUAGAUAUCACGAAGAACUCCGAUUGCGAAGGCAGCUUACUAAACUGCCACUGACAUUGAUGCACGAAAGUGUGGGUAUCAAACAGGAUUAGAUACCCCUGUAGUC